rnacentral:lncRNA from 10 species
UUCUGCCAUGAUCGGAAGUCUCCUGAGACAUCCCCAGCCAUGUGGAACUGAAGAGAAGCACUCUGGAAUCCUAGAAGAACUACUUAAACUUCUGCAGAAGGAAGUGGAUCUUAGCAACAUAAGAAUCAACUAUGGUAGUACCUGUGAUGCCCCCUCCUGAAAAAAGCCAGCACUAAUUUGAAGUGACGAAGCUCAUAGGGCACAGAAUUUA